rnacentral:rRNA from 1 species
UACGGGGGGGGCAAGCGUUGUUCGGAUUUACUGGGCGUAAAGCGCACGUAGGCGGAUUGGUCAGUUAGGGGUGAAAUCCUGGAGCUCAACUCCAGAACUGCCUUUAAUACUGCCAGUCUCGAGUCCGGAAGAGGUAAGUGGAACCCCUAGUGUAGAGGUGGAAUUCGUAGAUAUUAGGAAGAACACCAGUGGCGAAGGCGGCUUACUGGUCCGGUACUGACGCUGAGGUGCGAAAGCGUGGGGAGCAAACAGG